GGACAAAUAGAUUAGUGGUGAAAAAAAGAUAAUGAAUCUCACUGUUAAUCAUUAUGAAAAAUUGUUCAAGACUAAGAAAAGAUUAAACAUGGAGGAUUGCAUCAGGUAUAUCCCGAAGAGAAUUACUCAAGACAUGAAUGACAUGAUGAAUAAAAGAGUAACAGAUAAAGAGAUUAAAGAUGUCGUCUUUAGCAUGAAAAAUUUGAAGGCACCGGGGUCGGAUGGCUUUAAUGGGUUGUCCUAUCAAAAGUUCUGGGAUAUUAUUAAUAAAGAGGUAUGUGAAGUUGUGAAGAAUUUUUUUCAGCAAGAAACCAUUCCAGAGGAUAUUAGUAAGACAACUCUAGUUAUGAUCCCGAAAGUGAAGCAACCUGAGAGUCUUAACCACCUUAGACCUAUAAGUUGAUGUAAUUUUUUUGUAUAAGAUCAUUUCUAGGAUUAUGGUACUUAGAUUUAAAAAAUUGAUUGACAAUAUUAUAUCUCUAAUUCAGAGUGCUUUUGUUGGAGGUAGACAAAUUUAGGAUAAUAGUGUGAUUGUAUAAGAAAUCUUUCAUGAACUAAAUAAGAAAGGAAGGGGGGUUCUUAGAACUUGGUGAUAAAGAUUGACAUGAAUAAAGCCUACGAUAGAUUAGAGUGGGAUUUUUUGAAAGCUACUCUUAGAGCAUUUGAUUUUUAAGAAAGCUGGGUCAAGCUGAUCAUGGAAUGUGUUAAGAGUGCAAAUUAUAGAAUUAAGAUAAAUGGCAACUUAUCCAGAAAAAUUAAGCUACAAAGAGGCCUCAGGCAGGGGAUCUCUUCUCUCCAUACUUAUUCACGAUAGAAGCUGAGGUCUUUACUAUAUUAACGGAAAAGACAUUAAGAGAAAAGAGAAUCUCAGGGUUAAGAAUUGCCCCAACAUCCCCGGUCAUAUCUCACAUUCUUUUUGCUGAUGACUAUAUUAUCUUUCCAGAAGCAAAUGAAAAAAAGGUGUAUUAUAUCUAUUUUAAAUAUGUACAUAGAAACCUCAGGACAAAUGAUCAAUUUAGAAAAGUCGGGCAUAACUUCGAUAAUCAGAUCUCUAUUAAAAAAAGAGUUAAUAUUGUAGAAAUUUUAAAUAUGACAUCAUGGGACAACUCGAGAAAAUAUCUUGGCCUUUCUACACAUUGGAGAAGAUAAAAAAAAAUAUUACUCUUGCAUGGAUGGAAGAGAGAAUUAUGAAAAAAUUUGAGGGAUUGAAGGAGAAGUUGCUCAAUCAAACAGGAAAAGAGGUACUCAUUAAAAAAGUAGUUGAAGCCAUACCAACGUAUGUGUAUGCUAUGAACAUAGUGAAGUUUUCAAAAGAUUUUUUUCAUAGGCUAAGUAGUAAAGUGGCAAGAUUUUGGUAGGCUUCAAGUGAAAAACUAAAAGGGAUUCAUUGGAAGAGUUGGAAAAACAUGAGUGGGAGUAAAAAAUAUGGAGGUCUCAGGUUCAAAGAUUUUCAUAUUCAGAAUAUAACACACCUAGCUAAACAAGCAUAGAGAUUAUUGGAGAAUCCUGAGACUAUUUGGGUCAGAAUCCUAAAGGCUUUAUACUUUUCAGAUUGUGAAUUUUAGGAGGCCAAAGAUAAAAAAGGAGCAUCUUGUGCAUGGAAGAGUCUAUUACAAGAAAGAAAUUUAAUUCUAAAUAAAGGAAAGUGGAGCAUUGAAAAUGAAAAAAGAGUCAAAAUUUCGGAAGAUAAUUGAACUAUAGGUAAUACCAGCCUGCACGGGCAGCAAAAUCUAGAGAUUAACAAAGUUAAACAGUUGCUGAAAGAGGGGAAGGCUGAAAUUUUUGAAAAAUAAAAGUCAUGUUUGAUCAUGAGAGCUUUGAGAGAAUAGUAAAAACUCCUGUAAGCAUAUUAGGAAGAGAAGACACCUUAAUUUAGCCAUAUUGUAGAGAUGGGAAGUACUCAGUUAAGUCCGGAUAUCAUGUGGCUAAAAUGAAUAGUCAAGAAUUGGAUUCAGAUCAACCAUCAACAAGUGAGAACGGAAAGGAGCUAUAGAAAGAAAUUUAGGGGCUUCAAGUCCCACAGAAAAUUAAAAUAUUCUUUUGAAAAGCAUUGCAGAAUAUUAUUUCAAUUUAUGAUAAUUUGAGAAAAAAAAUGGGUUGCUAACAAUUUUCACUGCCCAAUUUGUAUGCAAGAGAUGGAGAUUUCAGAACAUGCAUUACUUCUAUGCCAAUGGACAAGAGUAGCAUGGUUUGGUUCACAAAUCCAAUGCUGUCCAACUAAAUAGACAGUUACAACUUUUAAAAAUUAGCUGCUAAAUAUUAUAAAGAGAAUUAAAGAUACAAGAGCAGAGCACCAGAACAGGAUCAUUAGCAAGAUAACUUUCCUAAUUUGGGAGAUUUGAAAAACUAGGAAUCUGAAAAGGUCCAUCAAAAUAUUGAACCAAAUCCAAGAAUUACAAUAGCUAAAGCUAAGAUUUUAGAGAAAGAGUUCUAUGAAAAUACA